GACGAACGCUGGCGGCGUGCUUAACACAUGCAAGUCGAACGGAAAGGCCCUGCUUUUGUGGGGUGCUCGAGUGGCGAACGGGUGAGUAACACGUGAGUAACCUGCCCUUGACUUUGGGAUAACUUCAGGAAACUGGGGCUAAUACCGGAUAGGAGCUCCUGCUGCAUGGUGGGGGUUGGAAAUUUUCGGCGGUUGGGGAUGGACUCGCGGCUUAUCAGCUUGUUGGUGGGGUAGUGGCUUACCAAGGAUUUGACGGGUAGCCGGCCUGAGAGGGUGACCGGCAAAAUGGGGACGGAGAUACGGACCAGAAUACAACGGGAGGCAGAAGGGGGGAAUAUUGCACAAGGGGCGGAAGCCUGAUGCAGCAACGCAGCGGGCGGGAUGACGGCCUUCGGGUUGUAAACCGCUUUCGCCUGUGACGAGGCGUGAGUGACGGUAAUGGGUAAAGAAGCACCGGCUAACUACGUG
rnacentral:rRNA from 1 species